rnacentral:rRNA from 1 species
AUUGAACGCUGGCGGCAUGCUUUACACAUGCAAGUCGAACGGCAGCGCGGGCUUCGGCCUGGCGGCGAGUGGCGAACGGGUGAGUAAUGCAUCGGAACGUGCCCAGUAGUGGGGGAUAGCCCGGCGAAAGCCGGAUUAAUACCGCAUACGACCUGAGGGUGAAAGCGGGGGACCGAAAGGCCUCGCGCUAUUGGAGCUGCCGAUGUCGGAUUAGCUAGUUGGUGGGGUAAAGGCUUACCAAGGCGACGAUCCGUAGCUGGUCUGAGAGGACGACCAGCCACACUGGAACUGAGACACGGCCCAGACUCCUACGGGAGGCAGCAGUGGGGAAUUUUGGACAAUGGGCGCAAGCCUGAUCCAGCCAUGCCGCGCGCGGGAAGAAGGCCUUCGGGUUGUAAACCGCUUUUGUUCGGGAAGAAAACCUCUGGGCUAAUACCCCGGGGGGAUGACGGUACCGGAAGAAUAAGCACCGGCUAACUACGUG